rnacentral:sRNA from 1 species
AUUCUGCCCAUGCGGGGAAGAAUGAGAAGCUUCGACCAAGGUUCGACUCGAGCGCCAGCGAGAGAGCGUUGCCGCAGGCAACGACCCGAAGGGCGAAGCGCGCAGCGCUGAGUAAUCCUUCCCCCACCACCA